GCGAGAUUCUUGUAUUUUCUAAUGCCAACUCUUAAGUCACCCCAGAGUCCAAAAAUUAUUCUUUUUUCGUUCCAGUUCCUACAUUUCUACUUCCCUUAUUUUUUUGCUCGUAUGCUGAAGUUCGUAACCCUUGCCACCUAAUUCUUUUAUUUCUCGUCUACGCUGUUUUACAGUCCUUGUAAAGUUCUGUGUAUUGAGUACCAUGUCAUAACGAGAAUAAAAAUCAUGUGUGUAAUGCCAGUAUCUAAACUUUUGGCUGCUUUUUGUUGUCUGUGUAACUGUGUAAGCUCUUGGCCAGAACCUGGAAUUUUGUUUUGGGUCCUUAUCCUAAUUUUUUUAUAGAAGCAGUAUGGUAAUGGUCUUGAUUUUGUGAAUGGUGUCUGGAUUUGAUUGUGAACAUGGAGUUUGUUUGACCAGGGAUAAUUUUCAUUAGGAAACCUGAAAGUGCCAAUGGUUAUUUUAUUGGACAAGAAGUACCAGUACUGUAAUGAAUGAUCAAAUGACAGGGAUCUAUAAUAUACCUGAAACUGCUACAUAAACAAACUGGAGCGAGGUAAUUCUGUCAGUAGGAAGAUUGGUAUUUUCUCAUUGAUAAACUCCUACUUGGAUAAGUUAAAAAUUAGUGGCACCACUCUGGGUGUAAUGCAAAAGCUCUGAAAUUUAGUGUCAGGAUACAUUCUUGUUUUCAGAUUUAGGUUUGAGGAUUUGAGCUGCAUCAAACUUUAUCUCAUCCUCAUGGAACAUAAACAAAAAAGAAAGAUGAAAAAAGAGACCAAAAAAAAAAAAAGAAACUCAAAAUUUUACAUGGUAAUGAUGACAUGUCUCAAGAGUCUUUCUUUUUCUUAUAUGCAGAUCUAUUUG
rnacentral:lncRNA from 1 species